AGUGGCGUAAGGGUGAGUAACGCGUGGGUAAUCUACUCCAGAGACAGGUAUAACCUACUGAAAGGUAGACUAAUACCAGAUAAGACUACUGAGAGGCAUCUCUCAGUAAUAAAAGGUGGCUUAAUCCGCCGUAGGUGGAUGCUGCCACUUGGGAAGGAGCCUGCGUCCUAUUAGCUAGUUGGUAGAGUAAUAGCCUACCAAGGCGACGAUGGGUAGCCGACCUGAGAGGGUGACUGGCCACACUGGGACUGAGACACUGCCCAGACUCCUACGGGGGGCUGCAGUCGAGAAUCUUUCGCAAUGGACGAAAGUCUGACGAAGCGACGCCGCGUGAGCGAUGAAGGUCUUCGGAUUGUAAAGCUCUGUCACCAGGGAAGAAGGUAGCUUGAUAAAUAGUCGAGUGGCUUGACAGUACCUGGAGAGGAAGCCCCGGCUAACUCCGUGCCAGCAGCCGCGGUAAGACGGAGGGGGCAAGCGUUGCUCGGAUUUAUUGGGCGUAAAGAGCGUGUAGGUGGUUACUUAAGUCGGACAUGAAAGCCUCUGACUCAACCGGAGACCAUCGUUCGAAACUGGGUAACUAGAGUAUAGGAGAGGAGAGUGGAAUUCCUGGUGUAGCGGUGAAAUGCGUAGAUAUCAGGGGGAACACCGAUGGCGAAGGCAGCUCUCUGGCCUACUACUGACACUGAGUACGCGAAAGCGUGGGGAGCAAACAGGANUANAUACCCUGNNAGUCCACGCUGUAAACGAUGGGCACUGGGUGUAUCCGCCUUANGCGGNANGUGCCGUANCUAACGCGNUNAGUGCCCGGCUGGGGAGUACGGUCGCAAGAAUCNNAUUCCCGCG
rnacentral:rRNA from 1 species